UCGAUCUCAAAUCAGGCGGGACUACCCGCCGAACUUAA
rnacentral:rRNA from 1 species